rnacentral:rRNA from 1 species
AUUGAACGCUGGCGGCAGGCCUAACACAUGCAAGUCGAGCGGAUGAAGGGAGCUUGCUCCUGGAUUCAGCGGCGGACGGGUGAGUAAUGCCUAGGAAUCUGCCUGGUAGUGGGGGAUAACGUCCGGAAACGGGCGCUAAUACCGCAUACGUCCUGAGGGAGAAAGUGGGGGAUCUUCGGACCUCACGCUAUCAGAUGAGCCUAGGUCGGAUUAGCUAGUUGGUGGGGUAAAGGCCUACCAAGGCGACGAUCCGUAACUGGUCUGAGAGGAUGACCAGUCACACGGGACCUGGACCCCGGCCCGGCUCCUAAGGGGAGCCGCAGUUGGGAAUUUUUGGCCAAUGGGCGAAAGCCUGCUCCAGCCAGGCCGCGGGUGUGAAGAAGGUCUUCGGUUGGUAAAGCACUUUAAGUUGGGAGGAAGGGCAGUAAGUUAAUACCUUGCUGUUUUGCUGUUACCAACAGAAUAGGCACCGGCUACCUUCGU